CUGGCAUGUGAAAAUGCAAUAAGUAGCUUUAGAGCCAAAUGGAAUAUACAAAUGUGUAGCAAUGUCAUCUUUGCUAUUCUAUUCUGGUCAAGAGAAGGCAUAUGCUGAUUGAGAAGAUACCAACAUAUACAGCUGCUAAUAGUUACUCUAACUCAACAUGUGUUAAGACCAAAGAAUAGUUGUCAUCUGGCGCAAGUGCUGAGCCUCUUUCAGAUGAGGCAAUGGGGUACAAGUCUAUUACCUCUAGCUCAGAAACACUAUUCACCAACUACCCAAUAAUAAACACAUCUAUUCCACUUGUUUUAAGGCUUUUUAGAAAUCAUUAACUCAAAGUAUCUUUGUAAUUGAUACACAUCUGCAGACCACAGGGUAGCUGGGACAUAAUAGUUAUAAUGAAAGAAUGAUCAAGUGCCAACAUGGAAGGGUGUCUCAUAAGAGCCUAGACAUUAUAAAUAUAAUGUCAUAUCUUGCCUUUGGAAGGUCAGGGAAAAUAUACUUGUCUAUUCACUAAAUAUACUUAAGGCCUUGCUAAAUUAUUAUUCAUUUGAAAAAAAAAGCUUUGGAGAUAACAGAAUAUUAUAAAAUAUAAAAUAAUUGAAAUCAUGGUUGUUUUCCAUCCACACAGAGGGAAAAUGUUCAUAGUGUUGGGGGAAGAAAAGACCAAAUGAUUAACGUGGCUAAGAGCUCUUACAUCUUGAUGAGAAAAUAUUUAACCUCUCUUGGCCAUCAGAAACCUGACUGAGCAUGUUCUCAGUUUUGUCUGCCAAAGGCUAUUUUGGAAUCUGGGAACAAUUGUUUUAAAAGGAAAGAAAUUGUCUAGUCUAGAUUCCAGAGGCGUGUGUUGAGACCUUCCUCUCAUUUCUUUCAUUUACUCAACAAAUAUUUAAGGCAGUAUUGCAUACAAUGAUGAUACAACAAUGAACAAGACAGACAAAGCUCCUGCUCUUCAGGAUUCUACAUGCUACUGGUGGAGGCAAAGGAUUGGAGAGAUUAAGGAACUUGAUUCAAGUCACGAAGCUACUAAGAGGCAAAACCAUGGUUUUAGUGAGACCCGUCUGGUUUCAAGAAGAGUAGUUUAAGUGUAUUCAGAGCCCAUUAUGUACCAGUCACUAUGUUCAGAAGUUUAUAUCUAGACCCCUCACAACAGGUAUGUAUGGGUAUAAUAAAAGUGUAAGUGUGUAAACAUAGAGCCAUAUCCAGAAGUCUGAAUUAAUGUCUUCUCCACUAGGAGUAAACCAGAAUCAACCUACUACACUAAGAGCAGAAAGCCACACUCUUCUCUUGGAGACAAGGUCUCAGGAAAGGAGUGGGUAAAACACUUAUCUCCAGAAAGCCAGCAAGAGGGAAGAAGGAAGAAAACCCCAUCCUGCAUGGUAUGAUGCUGAGAUUCCUCACAUAUCUUCAAAGCAUCCUAAGAAAGUUAUAAGGAGACAAGUCGAAUGAAACGAUGUUAUUCAAGGACCUGCUGCAUUUGGUCUGAAUGCAAACAAUUCCUUUGGAUGGCUGAAUCAUAAUUUAUUUAACCAUAUACUUUGUGUUCUGAAGCAAAACAGAAAAUUGUUUUAUCUUUGGGGGAAGAGGGAAACAAGUGGAAUCAGGGAUGAACCAGCCAAGUACCAUCCCAGUAGGGAGCCCUCCCUGGAAGUCACACAGUGCAGGAUGCAGCUUCCACCCCCGACCCUGUGGGUCAGAGACAGCAGUGGCACUUGAUUGUUCAUACUGCUCAGGGUAGACCGACACCCUGCAUGGAUUGUGUUAGCCCAUGGGAGUCCUGUAUAAUUGAAGAGGAGGGUGUUGACUUGGAAGGAAGAACCGAAGUACCUACUAAAAAGGCAGGUGAAUGCUUGAAUAACUUAUUAGAAAGGCGAAGAAUGCGGCCCUAUUAGGUCUAAAGUGGUAGAGUGCUUUCUACAGAAAAUAAAAGCACAGUAUGACUCUCUCUACAGCCAAAUUUCAUAAAUAAUAUGUCUCAACCUGCUCCUUCUAUUUUCUUGUCACUAUCUUUUUAAACCUGCUUCCUGUUAUCUACUAUAAGAUUACUCAAAAAAUAAUGAAUGAAUGCAUGACUGCUACCUAAUGGGCUUUCCUUUGUGUCUAUUUGACCUAGUAUCUAUCUCUACAGCACUUGACAUGUGCCUCUGCUAAAACAGCAGUGCAGGCUUCAUCAUCCAUCCUCCUUGAAAUUAUUAUUUCGUAGUUUCAUGAAUUCCUUUCUAGCCUAUUCUCCUACUCCUCUGUCUCUUUUUCUUUCUAUCUUCUGCCUCUUUCCUAUCUUUGCCUGCUCCUCCUCCUUAAAUGUUAGCUUCCCCAACUACGACUAUAAUUUAAGAUUUAAUAGAUAUCUUUAUGUAUAAGGAUAUAGAAUAGGAUAAAAGGAAAGAAAAAAUACCUUAUCACAAAACUCCAAUGAAAAGGAAAUUGUAGAGCCAUAACGAUAUUAGAAAAAGCAAACUUUAAGAAAUGAUACUAAAGAUCAGUAGAUAUAUUUUGUACUAGAAAAAUCUCAUUUUAACAGAAAGAUAUAACAAGUCUAAAUAUAUCUGCCCCUGACAAGCUUCCAAAUCAAUAAAGAAAAAAAGAGACAGAACUAACAGAAGAACUAAACAAAUUCAUGAUGAUAGUGGGAAAAUGUAACAUACUCCUCUCAUUAACUGAAAGAACAAAAAAGGCAUUAAAGAAGCAUUGUAGAAGGUCUGAACACUAUGAUGAACAAACUUGACUUAAUUGACAUUUAUACAACACUGUAUUCAACAUUCCAGAGUCCAUAUUCUUUUCCAAAGCAAUGGAACAUUUACCAAAAUAGAAAAUUUUCUAGGCCAUAAAGCAAGUCGUAGCAAAUUUCAAAGGAUUGAAAUAAUACCAAGAACGUUUUCUGGUUUCUGUGGGAUUAAGCUAAAAUCAAUAACAGAAAGCAAAUUAGAAAAUUUCUAAAUUUGUUAAAAUUAAGCAACACAUUCUGAAUAGCCCAUGUGUCAAAUUAGAAAAGAUAACAUCUCACAGCCAUAAAACUGAGCAAAGAAGACAGACGUGAAGGGGUAGAUGCUAGACAACUUCAAGUAUGUAAGGUUCCAAAUCAUCUCUAGUGACAGAGAUCAGAAUAGUGGCUAUCUUUGCAGGAAGAGAAUUAUGAGAAAAACUUCUAAGAUGGUGGUAAUAGUCUACAUCAUAAUUUUCUGGGUUAUGUGACUGCAUCACUUUCUAAAAUUUUGCUUAAAAUUUGUACAUCGUACUAUGCUAUAUUUAAAUACAAACUUUACUAAAAGAAGCAAUUAAAUUUUUGUUAAAUAGAGCUUAUCUUUAACAACACUCCUUGCUUCUCCUCAUCCACUACUACGGUUUCAGUAAUUUCCUCUAUGCCUUGGCUCUAUAACUCUAUCAUAUUUCUGACGUCUAAUUUUAGUACCAGUCCUGAGCAAUGAAAUUUAUUCCUAUUAGACAUGCCAUUCAUGAUCCCAUUGUAACAGGUUUAAAACUGAAAUCUGCUAGAAGAUUUCUUUCUACCGUCUCAACAGUGCUAUUAUUUGCCCAAUUACACAGGCUCACGACAACCAGUUGUCCUUAAAUUUUCUAUUGUUUUAAGUGUCCAUACCUUGUCAUGAACACCUGAAGAUCUUUUCUUCAAAUUAUCUCUUGCCUACCCCAACUAUUUCCAUUUUCACUAAUCCGAUGAAGGACCCAUUUCCCUAUAAGAGAGCCCCAGUUAUCCUUGACCACGAAACCAUGACUUUCUGCCAAGAGUACUGCAACAGUCUCCUCACUGGCCUCAGACUUCAGCUGCUCCUCCUUCCAAAGCCUCCUUUGCACAGCUGCUGCAUAAAUCUGCUUAAAACGUUAUUUUUGUCAUAUGUUUCUCUAAUUAAAACAAAAACUUUUUAUUAUUUUCCAUUAACUGAAAGAAAAAUGGAAAGUUUUGAGCCUAAUAUACAGUUUUACAUAUUCUGACUCCAACUUGUUUUUCUAGUUUUCCUAAAUCUCCCAUAGCUAAAUCAGCCUUUAUUAUCUCCAUAAUCUUCUUUGUGCUUAUUUUCCAACCUCACUUGUCCAUCUCAUUUUUCUCCAGAUAUUUAAAUCUUAUCCCUCACUUCAGAGCAUUACACCACAAGAGGCCUUAGGAUUUGCAACCACAUAGACUAAGAUGCAAAUGCUAGCUUUGCCAUUGAUUGGCACUGUGACCUUGGGCAAGUUAGUUCACCUCAGACCCUCAGUCUCAGACCCUCAUCUGUACUCCACAGAUAAUUAUUAGGUACUUCCCAUCUGCCAAAGACUGUACUACGCUUAAGGAUGCAAGGGCGACCAAAGGCAGACAAAUGCAUCUCUGUCAUCAUGGAACUUCCAGCCCAACAAAAGAGAAACAUUAAUAAAAUCCCGUAAGACCCACGUUGCACAGUGUUAGAACUAAAGUGAAUACAUGCAAAGCAAGUAACUCAGUGUUGAACACUUUAUGGGUAGAAAAAAUAAUGGUUAUUACUAAUCCUCCAAAACCCAGCAAAAUACCCAUCUUCUGUGAUAAGUCUAACACUUCAAUUUCCUCUCCAAGGACUCUGGAAAUUAAGAUCACCCUCAUGUUACCAUGAAGUCUACAAAUAUCCCCUCAUUCUCCAAGUUCUUCUUUUACUGUCUUUACCAUGCAUCUGACAACUGACCAUGUACUUUUCAGAGGUAAUUUCUUUUGUUAUAUUGCCAUUAAACAGGGCAAGCAUUUUAUCUCAGCAACUCAAUCUAAGCUUUUUAAGAGUAUGGACUGAGUUUUUAAAAGUUUGAUAUGCACUAAAGCUCCCAGAACAUGCUAAAUAUUUGUUGAUUUAGUGAGUCCAGCCCUACAAGUCCAGCUCUAUGAAUCCCUAUGGAGUACUUGAAGUGAUUCCAGAGGUUUUCUUCCCCCACAUAGAAAAACAAUCUGGCCUAGAAUAUUGGGAAGUGGAAACAUCAUUACUCAUUUACCCUCUUUGAGAGUUUCUCCCACCCAUUUUCCUCUUUAGCCUGCCAAAAUGUUUCAAAUUUCUAGGAGCCCAGGAAAAGGCUGGUUUUGGCAGCAGACAAGAAAAGGAUGAAAUGUUGAUUACGAGGGGAAAAAAGUUAAAAUGAGCCAGAGCCAGAAUCCCUGAAAAAAAAUUUAAAUUGAAUUUCUAAAAGGAGCCUUGAUUCUUGGAGUAUGUUUAUUUCCCAUUGAGCUUGGGAGAUUAUCCAAAGGAAGUUAAAACCAAAAUAUUUCCCACUAGGAAUAGUAGACAUUGGCUUGCCAAGUUUAGAAUCUACUAACUCAUUGGGCCCUAGAUUUUGAAGCAGUCACAAAGAAUACCAUUUCACUUUUCCCUGGGGAAAUGAUUUCCAGCUUCAUAGUUUUAAAGUGUUUGAAGAUGUAAAAUUAUACUCAAAUAAUAUCUUAUGAAUGUUAAUUUUAAAGAAUAAAAAACACAAGUAUGUUUGAAUGAUGAGAAGGCUAUUUUGUUAGAAUUUGAAAUCUUUAAUAUUAAGACAAAAAGAGAGGACGUGAUAAUAAAUUUUUAAACUAUGUGCCUGAAUUAUAAGCCAUAAUAAUUCUAGCAGUCUGCCUCAAAACAUCUGAAACCGGCUAGGCGCGGUGGCUCGCGCCUGUAAUCCCAGCACUUUGGGAGGCCAAGGUGGGCGGAUCACAAGGUCAGGAGAUCGAAACCAUCCUGGCUAACACGGUGAAACCCCAUCUCUACUAAAAAGUAGAAAAAAAUUAGCCAGGCGUGGUGGUGGGCACCUGUAGCCCCAGCCACUCGGGAGGCUGAGGCAGGAAAAUGGUGUGAACGCGGGAAGUGGAGCUUGCAGUGAGCCGAGAUCACACCACUGCACUACAGCCUAGGCGACAGAAUGAGACUCUGUCUCAAAAAAAAAAAAAAAAAAAAAUCGGAAAUCAAUGUUCUAAAAUACAGGUUUAAAAUAGCCGCCCACACCUCUCUGAGUACCCACUGUUCAGCAACUAAUGUCUGUUAACAUCAAUCAUCCAACUGGAUUAAUUAGCCAUAUUUUGUUCCCUGCUUGUAUAAAUUCCACGGAUAUUUUCCAGAUGACAGUGGCCUUCAAAGCACUAUGUCAGGUUCUAUGGGGACACAAAAAUGAAUGGCAUACUCUCAGCCCUUCAGAAUCAUAUCUUGGUUAGGGAGUCAGACACCUACAAUCAUAACACAAUCAUGAAAAUGUUACAAAGCAGCCUCUCAGAAACACGAUAAUAGAGAUCCAUAUGCUGUGCCAUGGGAGAUGAGACUCAUGGACGGGUGGUGGUGGGUCCGGAAUUUAUUCCUUCCAAUGGGUUCUUGGUCUGGCUGACUUCAAGAAUGAAGCCGCAGACCUUCACAGUGAGUGUUACAGCUCUUAAAGAUGGUGUGUCCAGAGUUUGUUCCUUCAGAUGUUCAGAUGUGAUCCGGAGUUUCUUCCUUCCGGUGGGUUCAUGGUCUCGCUGACUUCAAGAAUGAAGCUGUGGACCUUCCAGUGAGGGUUACAGCUCUAAAAGGUGGCACAUCCAGAGUUGUUUGCUCCUCCCAGAGGGUUCAUGGGCUCCUUGACUUCAGGAAUGAAGCCACAGACCCACUCGCUGGGAGUGUUACAGCUCAUAAAGGUAGUGUGGACCCAAACAGUGAGCAACAGCAAGAUUUAUUGUGAUGAAUGAAACAACAAAGCCCCCACGAGGUGGAAGGGCACCCCAGCGGGUUGCUGUUGCUGGCUCCAGUGGUCAGCUUUUAUUCCCUUAUUUGGCCCCGCCCACAUCCAGCUGAUUGGUCCAUUUUACAGAGCGCUGAUUGGUCCACUUUACAGAUUGCUGAUUGGUCCAUUUUACAGAGUACUGAUUGGUGCGUUUACAAUCCUUUAGCUAGACGCAGAGUGCUGAUUGGUGCGUUUUUACAGAGUGCUGAUUGGUGCUUUUACAAUCCUUUAGCUAGACACAGAGCACUGAAUGGUGCAUUUACAAUCCUCUAGGUAGACAUAAAAGUUCUCCAAGUCCCCAGUCGACCCAGGAAGUCCAGCUCGCUUCACCUCUCAGUAGGAACAUAGCAUAUACACAUUCAACUGAGGGAAUCCAGGAAGGAUUCACAGAAAGAUGGCCUUUGAUCAAUUAAUCAGUAGAAAUUAUUUGUUGGGCAGAAGUUUUCCAGACAGAAGGAACAGCUUGAAGAAAAAGUUUACAAAAAGAAUAUUUUUUAAAAAGACAGAGUGUGUGUGUGUGUGUGUGUGUGUGUGUGUGUGUGUGUGUGUAUGUGUAGGGUUUUGGUGCCAGUGUACAAGGUAUGCUAUAAGAGUAUAGGAGAAGCUCAAAUGAGAAAGGCCAGUGAAUGGCUUACACAAAGUAUGAAACAAUCAGAGGCUGGGUGCGGUGGCUCAC
rnacentral:lncRNA from 1 species